rnacentral:lncRNA from 10 species
AAAUAAACAAACAGACGGUCAGUAACACUGACGCUUUCCAAAGCUAUUAAGUAAACCCUGUUGACACUAGCAAUCUUUAUUGUUUGUUGUUCGUACAUUAUGGUUGUCUGAUUAGGUAGCAUGAUUGACUUUAAACACAAAAACACUAAAGCAAGAAGGAAUAUGAAUUAGCGUAGAACUUCUGGACAGGAAGUACAUAUGUAUUAAGGUGUUGUGGUUAAGCUCUCGGGCUCUGGCAGGAGGCAGAUUGGGUUACAAACUUGGCAUCCCCACUUACUUGCUGUAUGACAGUGAGAAUAUUAUUUAACUUCUCUAAACCCAUUUCCACGUCUGUAAAAUAGAGAUAACAACAGUGCUACCUUCCCAUGGCUCUUAGGAAGAUUUAGCAGGAUAAUGUAUGUGACUCUGUUAGAAUAAAGGUGAUCUACAUGUCAUAAAAUCCAAUAUAUCAGUCAGGGUUCAGUGAAGGAACAGAGCUACUGUGAGUGUUAUUAGGCAAGGGAUUUAUUAUAGGAACUAGUACUUACACAACUGUGGGAGGAGUUGAGAAAGUAAAGAUCCGGAAGGGGAAGCUGGAGAAAUAGUCACUAAGCAGUCCCCUAAAGCCCUGGGGUGAGCAGACAAGUCGAAGCUUGCAAGGAAAUCUGAGAAAUCCAGGACAUUCAUCAGCCAAAUUGGUACUGCAAAAAGGGAGCUCACUAAGCAUUGUGUGGGAAACCAUGCCCCUCUUAAGACACCUCUGUGUAUGCUAAGUGUCUGGUGGUGGGCCUGCAACUGCUGUUGACCAGCAGGGCUAGCAUUUGGGAAGAACAGCCUGGUGUAGAACAGAGGAAAGUGGACAAGCUGAACCCACUGGGCACCUUGACAUCUGUCUAUCACCAUGCGGCACAAUGAAGAUCUUCAGAGAGGCAUGGCUACCGUUUCACUUCUGCCUUGCAAAUUAUGAGCAAGCUCCUCGUGAGAUCAACUCUAACCUAGGUCCAUAUAAGGGAUUCCGGAAAAAAUUCUGCCCAGAUUAGUCAUGUUGACGACAGAACAAUCCAGCAUACCCCAAAUAAUAUUGGCUUUAAAAGUAUAGUUUAUUUCUGUCUCAUGCCAUACAAGUCUAGACGAAGUCAUUCUACAGUGACAGGAACCUAGCUCUUUAGAUCUUUUUGCACUACUAUCCACAGCAAGCAGCUUUACUCCAUAGUCUAAAUGGCCAGUGAAGCUCCAAAAAUCAUGUCGUCAUUCCAACCAGCAGGAAAAAGAAAAGAGUAAGUUGGGCUCACACAUUCUUUAUUUUUUUUUUUUUAUUUUUUUUAUUUUUUUGAGACGGAGUUGUUUUGCUUGUCUCCCAGGCUAGGAUGCAAUGGCAUGAUCUCGGCUCACUGCAACCUCCGCCUCCCAGAUUCAAGCAAUUUUCCUGCCUCAGCCUUCCGAGUAGCUGGGAUUACAGGUGCGAGCCACAACACCUGGCUAAUUUUUGUAUUUUUAGUAGAGAUGGGGUUUCUCCAUGUUGGCCAGGGUGGUCUCAAACUCCUGACCUCAGGUGAUCCACCCGCGUCAGCCUCCCAAAGUUCUGGGAUUACAGGCAUGAGCCACCAUGCCGGGCCUUCACACAUUCUUUUUUUUUUUUUUGAAAUGGAGUCUCGCUCUGUUGCCCAGGCUGGAGUGCAGUGGCGCGAUCUCCGCUCACUGCAAGCUCCGCCUCCUGGGUUCACGCCAUUCUCCUGCCUCAGCCUCCCGAGUAGCUGGGACUACAGGCGCCUGCCACCACGCCCAGCUAAUUUUUUGUAUUUUUAGUAGAGAUAGGGUAUCACUGUGUUAGCCAGGAUGGUCUCGAUCUCCUGACCUCGUGAUCUGCCCCCCUUGGCCUCCCAAAGUGCUGGGAUUACAGGCGUGAGCCACCGCGCCUGGCUGCCUUCACACAUUCUUUUAAACAACAUGUCCUGGAAAUCUCACAGAGCUGCAAGGGAUGCUGGAAAGUGUAGCCUUUAUUUUAGGAAUUGUUAUGUUCAGCUAAAACUUGAAAGAGGAAGAAAGAACCUAUCAAGGGAGACGUAGCAGUCCUUGCCACAGUCCUCUCAUCCAUAAGCUCCUUCUUUUUAUAUAGAGCCCUCCUCUCUAGGAGAGAGAACUCCAAAGUGUCCUCUAGUUACUGCUUUAAGCUCAAAGUUGAGAAACUCUGGGUGAUAUGGAGUCAUCUCCAUCUUAUCUAGAUGUAGUGGCUCAUGCUCCAGAAACUCAUAAACAAAGUUAUUUAUCCUGCCUUUUUGGUCAUAUUCAGUAUACUGUAUAGUGGUGAAACAGGAAUAGAGUAACCUUAAUUAAAAUUUCAACUGGAGAAGAGGAAAGCAGGAAACAUGUAACACUCACUGGUACUGGUCCAUAGGAGUUAUCAAACCCUGCUGAGCACUAAUUGCAGAGAACUCCCUGGCCUGAGAAGGGAGUUCUUUGAUUAGCUCACCAGGCAGCCCUUGGUUCUGCUCUCUGAGAUGAGCUUUUUCAAUUACUAUCCUUGUUGUGGACUGGAUUGUGUUCUACCCCAAAUUCACCACAUGUGAAUUUGGGGUAGAACCCAAUCCCCCAAUGGGACUGUUUUUGUUUUGUUUGUUUGUUUGUUGGGAGAUAGAGCCUUUUAAAAGGCAGUUAAGGUUAAAUGAUGUCAUAAGGCUGGGGUCCUAAUCACAUAUGGCUAGUGUCCUAAGAAGAAGAGGAAGAGACCCUAGGGACGUACAUGCAGAGAGGAACGGCCAUGUGAAGACACAACAAGAAGCCUCCAGAACCAUGAAAAAAUAAAGAGUUGUUUAGACCUCCAAUCUGUGGUAUUUUGUUAUGGCAACCAUAGAAGACUGAUGCACUUCCUGGUCCUUAGCUCUGCUCUCUCAGAAGUUCCUCCUUCAUCAGCCUCCUCCAUGGCCAC